AUGUUGGCUAAAUUUGACCCGGUUAUUGAGGAGCAUGUUGGUCAUAUUACAAAUGAAGAAACUCAUGCGCAUUAUCUUGAUCAUAAGAUUCAAAAUGAGUUGAUACAUUUGCUUGCUUCUGCUAUUAAGUCUGAGAUUGUUAAGAAAAUACAGAGUGCAAAGUAUUUCUCCAUCAUACAUGAUUGUUCCCCUGAUGUAAGCUAUCAAGAACAAAUGUCUAUAAUCGUAAGAUAUGUGAACUCAUCUUCAAGUCAUGUUUGCAUAGAAGAAUCAUUUUUAGGAUUUUUAGAUGUAAAUGAUACGACUGGGCAAGGACUGGUUGAAGUGCUAGUGAAUGAACUAAAGCUUCUUGAUCUUGAUAUAGAUCAUGUGGGAGAACAAGGUUAUGAUAACGGGUAAAAUAUGAAAGGAACACAUCAUGGAGUCCAAAGGAGGCUUCUGAAUGUAAAUCCUGGAGCUUCCUAUUCUACUUGUGGUUGUCAUGGCCUUAAUUUGACACUUUGUGAUAUGGCCAAGACUUGUGGUAAAGCUAAAGUCUUCUUUGGAAUUAUCCAACACUUAUGUACAUAUUUUGCUAAUUCUACUAAGAAGUGGUAUAUUCUAAAGGAGAACAUCACAUGA
rnacentral:rRNA from 1 species